rnacentral:rRNA from 2 species
UGAGUGAAGAAGGCUUUCGGGUCGUAAAACUCUGUUGUUGGAGAAGAAUGGUCGGCAGAGUAACUGUUGUCGGCGUGACGGUAUCCAACCAGAAAGCCACGGCUAACUACGUGCCAGCAGCCGCGGUAAUACGUAGGUGGCAAGCGUUAUCCGGAUUUAUUGGGCGUAAAGCGAGCGCAGGCGGUUUUUUAAGUCUGAUGUGAAAGCCCUCGGCUUAACCGAGGAAGCGCAUCGGAAACUGGGAAACUUGAGUGCAGAAGAGGACAGUGGAACUCCAUGUGUAGCGGUGAAAUGCGUAGAUAUAUGGAAGAACACCAGUGGCGAAGGCGGCUGUCUGGUCUGUAACUGACGCUGAGGCUCGAAAGCAUGGGUAGCGAACAGGAUUAGAUACCCUGGUAGUCCAUGCCGUAAACGAUGAAUGCUAGGUGUUGGAGGGUUUCCGCCCUUCAGUGCCGCAGCUAACGCAUUAAGCAUUCCGCCUGGGGAGUACGACCGCAAGGUUGAAACUCAAAGGAAUUGACGGGGGCCCGCACAAGCGGUGGAGCAUGUGGUUUAAUUCGAAGCAACGCGAAGAACCUUACCAGGUCUUGACAUCUUUUGAUCACCUGAGAGAUCAGGUUUCCCCUUCGGGG